AGCCCCAUGGCACUGGUGACUAAGAACAUAGGUUUUACAGUCAGAUGACCUAGGCUCACAUUCUCAGUCCUUUGAUCUCUAUUCUUCUGAUUCUUAUCUGUAAAGUGGGGAUUUUUUUUUUUCUGCCCUGUAGGACUGUUGCGAAGGUUAAAGGAGUUAAUCCCUAUGAUGUUUUUGGAACAGUAUCUGGCAUGCAGUGAGCACUCAGUUUUGUGUUAACAGUGAUAGAGGCAAGGAGUGGGUUGGAUGGCCAGGUCAUCUCUGUGAGGCAUGGAAAAAGGAAUCCACUAGAGCUGCAAAGCGGUGUUCAUAGUGUCAGCGGCCCAGCUAAAGCUGGAAACCAUUAAUUUUGUAACAUAACCAACUAGUGACUUUUAUUUUCUUGGCAGAACUCAGCAGCAGGAGGAAGCCAAGAACGACUCUGGGGGAUAGAUGCGAUCCCUGUUUCAAGGACGUGGAAGCAGAAAAUUUGAGGCCUUAGUAACUCCGGGCUACUUAGUGAGCAAUAAAGCUGAAAUUCAGUUGGGACUCUAAAAACUACAGUUCCAGCACUUUGAAGACAAAUGUGUUUCUUCCAUGUUUUAUGAUAUGGAUUUAUGAACAAAGCCCUUCUCUUUGAGUUUCUGAGUGGACCCAAAGCUGUUUUUUGAGAGAAAUAAUUGGUUCUGGUGGCACCCCUGAGGAAGCAGGACAGGCUUGUCUCUGGGUCUGCCUCAUGAAACUGGAUGUUUGGUGGAGGAGGUCGUUCUUUUCAGAUACAGAGGACUGGUUCUUUAGUGAAGACAGGGUCUUGCUCUGUCGCCCAUGCUGGAGUUCAGUAGCAUGAUCAUAGC